CAGGCCUAACACAUGCAAGUCGAGCGCCCCGCAAGGGGAGCGGCAGACGGGUGAGUAACACGUGGGAAUCUACCUUUUGCUUCGGAACAACUCCGGGAAACUGGAGCUAAUACCGGAUACGCCCUUUUUGGGGAAAGAUUUAUCGGCGAGAGAUGAGCCCGCGUCGGAUUAGCUAGUUGGUGGGGUAAAGGCCUACCAAGGCGACGAUCCGUAGCUGGUCUGAGAGGAUGAUCAGCCACACUGGGACUGAGACACGGCCCAGACUCCUACGGGAGGCAGCAGUAGGGAAUAUUGGGCAAUGGGCGAGAGCCUGACCCAGCCAUGCCGCGUGCCGGAUGAAGGCCUUCUGGGUUGUAAACGGCUUUUCUCAGGGAAGAAAAAGAGGAUGCGUCCUAAACUGACGGUACCUGGGGAAUAAGCACCGGCUAACUCCGUGCCAGCAGCCGCGGUAAU
rnacentral:rRNA from 1 species